rnacentral:rRNA from 1 species
GACGAACGCUGGCGGCGUGCUUAACACAUGCAAGUCGAACGGAAAGGCCCUGCUUUUGUGGGGUGCUCGAGUGGCGAACGGGUGAGUAACACGUGAGUGACCUGCCCUUGACUUUGGGAUAACUUCAGGAAACUGGGGCUAAUACCGGAUAGGAGCUCCUGCUGCAUGGUGGGGGUUGGAAAGUUUCGGCGGUUGGGGAUGGACUCGCGGCUUAUCAGCUUGUUGGUGGGGUAGUGGCUUACCAAGGCUUUGACGGGUAGCCGGCCUGAGAGGGUGACCGGCCACAUUGGGACUGAGAUACGGCCCAGACUCCUACGGGAGGCAGCAGUGGGGAAUAUUGCACAAUGGGCGGAAGCCUGAUGCAGCAACGCCGCGUGCGGGAUGACGGCCUUCGGGUUGUAAACCGCUUUCGCCUGUGACGAAGCGUGAGUGACGGUAAUGGGUAAAGAAGCACCGACUAACUACGUG